GUCCACGCCGUAAACGAUGAGUGCUAAGUGUUGGAGGGUUUCCGCCCUUCAGUGCUGGAGCUAACGCAUUAAGCACUCCGCCUGGGGAGUACGGCCGCAAGGCUGAAAACUCAAAGGAAUUGACGGGGACCCGCACAAGCGGUGGAGCAUGUGGUUUAAUUCGAAGCAACGCGAAGAACCUUACCAGGUCUUGACAUCCCUUGACACCUCUAGAGAUAGAGCGUUCCCUUCGGGGACAAGGUGACAGGUGGUGCAUGGUUGUCGU
rnacentral:rRNA from 1 species